CGGUGCUAUCAGCUGACGAAGGAGCUUGGGCGUGUUCGGCACCCGUGCGUGCUGGCGCUCUGAGCUGCUUCUCCUUGGCCUGGAAGAAGGCUCUUCUCCUCUUCCACGCCGACUAUACCCCAAUCCCCCAAUACCAUUAUGCUGGAGCAAUGGUUGGUCUCUGCUAGGAGGAUCCGAACCCCUAUGCUGAGGAUAAUUAAUAUCUCUGGUACGGGAAAUAUUUUCUAAGUAAACCGGAAAUAUGAUAUAGUCGAAAGAGCAAUAGCAGAUUGGUUCUGGGAGCUUCGAAACAACAAGGACUUGUGCUACUCGUAACCAUGGACCAUGGUGAAUA